ensembl:lncRNA
GGGGGGUUCAGAUUUUAUUUCCUGUACAGCAAAAUCCAAAGUGAGCCCAAGCCAUUUUAAAGCUGAAGAGAGAUCUCAUGCAAGAAUACAGCCAGCAUCAAACUGCUAAUGUCUUCCAUUUUCUUUUGAGGCAGGAAAAUAUCUUACUUCUUUUAUGGAAGAAGGAUAAGUUGAACUGUUGUAAGGUCAAAUAAUAUAGCUAAGCAUUUAGAUAGAUAUAUAAAGAAACAUUGUAAGAGCACUUUGCAACCAAGGAUAACCUCUGGCUUAUGCAGCUUGCAUCAUGACCAUGCAGAACUUGUUUAAUGGUUUGGAGUACAAGAGAAGCUCGUUGUGUAGGCAGAGCUGUAUGGAAAUGUUCUAAGCAAACAUGGGGAGAGGGAGCUUUUGCCUUGCACAGGAGCACACUCAAAGCAGUAGCUUAGAGUAAAAUUUACAGUGUUGUGAAUAGCUCAGUAGCAUUAUGCAAUAGUACUGGGAAAAGCAUAAGCAAAUCCUGAGUUUCCCGGUGCUGAAGUAGCAGAAUGCACUUCAUUGGGCAUAAACAUACGAGGAGGAUUAAUUCAAAACAAGAUUGUCUAAGUGGUGCUUAUCACUGUAUAUCCAAAAUACUGUUAUAGGAAGUUACCAAACUGAAGGCAGUCUCGCCUCAGUAAUCAGUGCCCCACUGGACUGAAAUCCAUAAUCUGUAAUCAUAUCGGUGCUGCAGUUCUUCUCAUGCCUUAUCAUUGAUACCUGUGCUGCUGUGGAGUACAUUUUAGGCAGUUUAAGUGGCUUCUGACAGUUAAUGAUUGGCUUAUGCUCUGAAAGCAAUAUAGCUUGAUUAUUUACAUCUCAUACAAAAUAAUGAGGGCUGUAAUAAAAUGUUUCUGCUAGUCUCUUAAUUAUCUUGAUGUAAUCCAUUCCAGCUCCAGCCAUGCUCAUUUAUGAGGAUCCAUCGCGCAGAAGUCUGUCUAUGGAACUUUCCUAUAAAGCCUGUGGCAUUCCAGUUUGACUGUGGAAGCAAGUUUUCUUUUACAGAAACUGAUACUGGUGUGACGAAGGAGGACAGGUAGCUCUAGAGACUUCAGAGGUUGCAGAAUACAGCAGCUUUUCCCAGAAGUGUAUCAGAGUCUUGCUUCCAGUAAUGUCUGAACACUGUGGUUACGGAGAAAGGAUGAUCCGUUCCUGGGUCCUCUUGCCUGCAGUGCUGUGUGCCACCAAAGCAGUAGAUGAACUCUCGCUAUCGACUGGAAGCAAGGUUGUGUGUGAAGAUCACUGUGUGCUGCUUACUUUGUUAUAAGUCCCAACAUUUGGAAGUGAGGGAAGUGGACAGAGAAGUGGGGAACGCAGUGCUUUCUGUCUCUGUUCAGAAAGAAUGGUUUUCAUAAGGGGUUUGAAGCUGUACAUGUACGAUGAUAAAGAGCAGAACCAACAUGGCAUGAACACACAAGCUUAGAGCCAAUGUGAAAUAUGCCCCAGGCUUGGUCUUAAAUCAUAGUUUACGUCUUGUCACAGACAUCUGUAUAUUAUUACUUAUUUUCAAGUAGAUUACUUUUCUUUUUAGAAGUCCAAGUAAUGCCUAAACAAAAGGUUAUUGCAAGCAGCUUUGGGUUUAAUUCGUGAGGUGCUGCAAUAAGGAAACUAUUUGAGGAUAGAGGUAUUAGCUAUUUGGUUAUUUGAGAAUAACUGCUAGCCAUUACACAGAAACAUAUCAUGCUUGCUACUAUGGUAUCUUACAAAUAUUUACUAAACAACAUCUUGCUUAAAUCCUAUUCCUUGUUAUUCCAUUUGGCUGUAUGAGAACUGCCAAACAGAGCGACCUGAUGAUGGCUGUAAGCUGGGGAAGCUGUUCCUCAGGAGUGGUGGUGCCUUAUUGCCCCGUUCUUAGUCUCACCAAGGAGUUAGGUAUCUCUUCUUACCGGGCUGCUCAUUAGCAGGUCUGUGUGCCUUACAGAAGGAAUUGGUAUCACACUGUCAUUUUGCUGCAGAGGGAGAAACUGAGGCAUAAUGGAGCAGAAAAAAACAUUGUGGUUGGUGCGUAGCAGUAAUAGUAGUGCCAGGCUGGAGAUUAAGCCAGCUCUGCUGAGAUUUUAUCCAAUACUUUCCAGUGGGUCAUAAAUGCAUAAAGUAAUCAGGCAAGGACUUUGUCAGAGCACAUCUGCUCCAGUGUUUCUGGUAAAAGUACAUCCGUUAUCCCAAUUAAAUCAUAUGGUCCGGCACUGAUGAUGUGUGAAGGUAAAGCCAUCAGUGGCCUGGCUGUGUCUUUCAGACAGACCAAGAAGAAUGUUGGGCAAGCUAAAUCCAUUUAAUUUCUGGUGCUGCCAAUGCUGGAUAUGGGUGUACGUGGAAGUGGAGCCUCAGGGAUUUCACUGGGGGCUCCAUGUGGACAAAAUGAUCUCUUUCACUCAAGGAAGCUUAUAAUAUCAAAACCACUGUAAGAAAAUGGUCUCUGUACAAAGCUUACCGAGAUGAAGGUUUUCCAAUGGCAUGUCAGUUAACAUUCCCAAGAAGUGGUUUACCUGAGAUUAAUAAUGCAUUUGGAGGAGGUCUGUGAGAUAGCCUGCUGCUCCUGUCAAGUCUCCUGCCAGUCCCAGAAGGGAGGAGGUAAGUUGUAUUUUCCUCUUGCUGUUCUGCUUGCAUAAAAGUGACCUGGGAAAAUAAGAGUAAGCAGAUGAGGCAAGGAGAAAUUGGUUGACUGGGUCUAACUGCAAAAAGGAAAUGCAAACCCCUCAAUUCACCCUCAUGCUAAGGUGUUGUGGUUUUUUUUUUGAAGAAUAAAAGGAGGUAGCAGAAUUCAUGCAAGGCUUUAUACAUUUGUUUUCUAUAACAGUGCUUUGUUUCCUUUUGGUCCUUCAAGUCCUUUUUCAGUACUGGAAAUAAGCAACCACAUAGAGCAGGAUUUUUCCCUGCUGCUGUGCAUGUGUAUGAACAGCUUCCAAAGGAGGCUUUUGUGGGGCAUCAGAUGGGUUUACCUUGGGCUCAAUGAGUCCUUCAGUUAGGCUUUAAUAUAUUAUUUUCCCUGUCAUUUCUGCUUAGAUAGUGACAUUGAAUGCUCUGAUGAUAUCAACCAACUAUGUGUUCCUUCACUGUCAAGUAUUUGGGAUGGAAAUUUAGCAGGCAGUUAGAUUAAAAUAAAAAUAUCCUGCUGGCAAGGAAAUAAAUUGAAUUAAGUCGGUGCUGCUCUGAAUGUUGGUAACUGUGGAUGAGUUUUCAUGGUUCAUUCUGAAGAGCUACCGAGGCACCCAACAGCUCAUAUAUUAAUGCUAAAUUACUGUUGUUAAAUUUAUUUCCCAAUUCUCUUUGGUAUUUAAAAAAUGCAUUAUCCCCACAUUGCAAAACUUGAAGAAGCUCUUUAUCCAUACCUCGGAACACAAGAAAUGGAAAAGCGGCAUCUAAAGUAAGAGGAAAUUGUCACAUGAACAACUGCACGUAAACCGGCGGUGAAUAAAAGAUGUUCCGUGCCAUCAGGGAGAGGGAAAUCUCCUCUUAGAGCUUCACAAGGGAAGUGUAGGGACCAAAGCCCUCGGGCUUUCUGUGGGGCUGAAUCAGAUCAUGAAAGAAGCUAUAAGUAGGUGAGCAGUCCCAAGGGAUGGCACUAAGCCACGUAGGAAGUCUCUUCUGUGCGGUAGUCUUUGAGGAACAGUCUCAGAGAUUGUUAAAUAUUGAAGGAAAUAUGAACUUCAAAAAGUGGUUUUUAAUUUAAAUAUCGUAAUAGUUGUUGUGUGUAAGAAGUAGAAAGCAUUGAGUUCAACUGUGCCGAAGGGAGGGCGAUGCCUGGCUACAACUCCUACUGAGCUCUGCCCCUUUCUGGGAGCUCGUAGGGCAGCCCAGAUCUUUCUUAGGGUAUGCCUUCUAUUGGAACACGAGUUCUUAGGGUGUGACUUUUCAAGCUGAGAUGUCUGCACAUGAAAGAAUUUGAGCUUUCAAAGAACUCCGGGCCUUUGCUUACCUCCUCUUGAAUUGUAGGGAUCUGAACUACUCGGAAAAGACGAAUUUACGCCGCUUUUCCAAAGGUGGGAUCUGGUUCCUUUGUUUGUACUGAAAGAUUGAUCAGAGCAGGUAAACAGACAUUUGGUGCAUAGCUAAUUAUGAGCUAUGGAAAAAUGGACAUUUUUUUUUAGUUGUUCCUAAAAGAUCAGGCUUAGGAUUCAAAGCCGUAACGCAUUUAUUGUGGUAACGCAAACUGAAGUCAUGUGAAUCGAGAACCAUAAGGGUUCCAUUAGCACACAUGGAAAGUCGAGUUGGGUCUGUAAUAGCACUGACAGUAAGUCCCAUUCAGGAGCAUUACUUCUUAAAAAUUAAACAAACCUCUCAAGUGGCUUAACGUGUAGCUGACAGUGCCAGCACGCUUCAAUUUCCAUUCAACCUGAAGUUGCCACACUCUCCAUUCUAAAUGGAAAUAGUGUUCUGCUGAUGUCACUGGCAAGCCUCCUUUUCUCCCAGCAAAAAUGUUUGUGUUACGGUGACUUCUUGAUCCCUGAGAAUACGUUUGUCUUGGUGAUCUGCUUCAGAUGCAAAUUGCUAUACCAGUCAGCUUGUGGGAAGAUAAAACCUUUCUUUAUUUUUAGUUCUGUCCAUUUAAAUCCAACGUGCAGUGCUAGAUGUUGGAAUCAACGUGGAUUCUUUCUGCUCGGAAGCCUCUGGGAAGAGAUGUCUCACCCCAGUGCUCAAAGGCUGCUUCUAAUUCUGUUGUUUUUUUAAUGUUAUUUCUUUAAGUGAUACCUAUGGAACGUGUUAGCCACCGAUUUGGGAAAUCUCCCUUGUAUCUCAGUCUUCUGUUUCUCUUGUUUCCUCCCCUGGCCUCAAAGCAGCAGCACAGCUGUGCCAGGAUACCCAGGACUGCUUUUCUGCGCCUCGUCCUUUCAGCCCCAUUGGAUGCUCAGCAGGAGCCGCUCAGUUCACACACGCAGUGCGUUCUGCCUUCCAAGAGCUUUCCAUCAGGCGAGAGGCUCUCUUCUUUUUGCCUGUUUCAAAUGUACCGUUCCACGUGUCCUACAAGAAGUCUUCACGCACCUCUCCAGGUAUUCAGGGAGAAGAAGUCCAUUUUUCUGUUGCCAUCAGACUCAGUGCUUCGUGCAGUGGUCCAUGAUGAGACCACUCAGGAAAAUACUCUUAGCUGUGGUUUCCAGCACAAGAAAUGUUGCAAAUCUGAGUUUAAAAAAAAUCAAGUUUGGCUGCUGCACAACACUUUCUCAGUUGAUUCCUUAUUAUUUAACACUUCUCUGAAGUUCAAGUCUUUCUUUUUUUUUUUUUUGUCUCCCCCCUUCAAUACAGCCUUCAUCCAAAAGACACUGCCAAAUGCUUUACAAGUAGUACAGAGAAAGAGAAAUUGUUUCUGGCACCUAUUGCAGUAGUCAGCACUGAGCAUCCUGCUUACCCAGCUCACAAAGCACAGAGCCUUAUUUUGUUAGGAUGUACAAAUGCUUCUGCUAUCAAACAAGCAAAAGGACAGCCAGCCCACCUAACCUGCUACCAGCUAGCCACCAAGGUGAGCUUACUGAGCCACUGAGCUUGUAGUUGUAUCAAUGGACACCAUUUGGUCAUUUAUAUUUCUUGCGAAAGAUGGUGGUCCCAUGGUGUGAGCUUUGAUAGCGUGGUAUCAGAAUGUUGUCCCAGUUAUGCCUACUGAUCAGUAAUUCAGAAGGCUCUGCACUAGUGAAGUGCUGGGAGGAGAGGUGCCUUCUGUUUUCUGCUCCAUACUUCCACUCUCUUCCCUCUCUUUUUUUUUCCAAGGUUGGCUUGGUAUUAUGUCAUUUCAGAUGGACAAGAUUAAGUGAAAUCCUGCUUUGGGUUUCUGAUGCUCUCCCCUCUGUUUUGUGUUAACACUGAGAAUUUGUUUCUGUGUUGUUUGUGGCUGAGGCUUUUUUCCCCACCCCCUGCCUGAGAUGGCUCAAGAAAUGCUGAACAGAGUGCUUAAUGAUUUCCAGUGUUUUCUCUUGACAUUUUAGUUUAGGAGAAUGAGCAAUGCCUCCACUGGGGACUUCCCUGGCAGAUCCACGUCUGAACAGCCAGGGCUGGCUUCCAAGAACAUUAAAUUCCAGCUGCUUUUCCAUCCAAGGCAAGAGAGGACCAGGGAGAGAGAUUCCAGUGUGAACUACCUGCAGGUGUGCAGCAGGGUGCCGCAGUCCAUGCGGACCAGCUAUGCUGGCUGAUCCCCACACGUGGCACCAAGGCUGUUCCUUUCCCAUUGAUAGGUUAUGCAUAUUUGGUGCCUGGCUUAACGCUGCAAGGGACAUAAUUUUCAGUGGUAUAAUGGACCGCUUGAGCCUCUCUUGUCAACUGGGAGUUUGAGUAUGCAGCGCGUUUGGAAAUGCAGCCCAUCCUUACCCAGCAACUGGCAAGGGAGAAAUCCAGACCUGCCAGUCGCUAUUUCAGCCUGUGACUUCUGCUCGCCUUUGUCCCAUCCAAGCGCGGUAAGGCAGAGCUUGUGUGCUCUUCUGGAGUUGGCUCCGCGUCUGCAGCUGCACGUUGAAAGGUACCGCAGUGUUUUCAGAAACCCAAAAGGUAGCCAGUCUCCAGCUGGUAAAAUUGUCAUCGUUCAUCGACUGAUUGAACUGCGGAAAUUUACCCAAGUAGAGGAUCAGGUCCAGUGUACACAGCUGGGAACCGAGCUGAGCUCAGUAGCUAUCUGUGCUCAGUGCUAAGCACCGGCCAACUGGGUUGCGCACGACUUUCUGCUAGGUAGCAGUGUGUCGAUCAAUGUCCUCUUGUUCGCUUGGAUCCAUGUUGUCUCCCAUUGCUCUGUCCCUUCUCUGUUCUCCUUUCCCUUCUAACUAAGCAACGUCUUACAGGCAGCGAGAGGGCGAGCCACAAUAGAUGAAAACAGAUCUGUUUUUGUGAUGUUUCUGGGGAAAACGUUCCUGCCCUUACACUUGAACUUCUCUAAGAGUGGUUAUAUUUCAUUACGCAUCUUAUCCUUGUUUGUGAAACAAGCAUGAGCUGUGCUUGCUAUGAGUUCAGUAGAGAAAAGAAAUGGAUAUUUGGGGAAGAUUGUUCCUCACUUGACAGCAUUAUUGUAAGCAAGGAAAUUUAAAGGAGGUUUUGCUUAGGCCCUCUAUUUUUCUCUGACUUUGUGUUUGUAUUUUUUUCCUGAAGUUUGUCUCAAGGUCUGCAUGAAGACCCAAACCUCUAAAAUGCUUUAAAGUCGAUCUCUCUCUGCCCGCGUGUAUUCAGCUAGCGUGGUAAAAUGUUUUGUUUCUCUUUUUUCUUUCCAGAGUCUAUGAGAUCAUUCAAGUACGGAGACUUGGCAGCCUCCAUGUACGUACAAAGACGGCUGUUUGAAUUUCAGACUAAGUGUCGUUCUGGCUAAGGAUGAAUUAUUUGGUGUGUUACAUGAGGAUUUGCUGCUUUAUCUGGCCUGAAUAAGAGCUCCACCAGUGCAGACCUCCCUCACGAAAGCCACGGUGAUGUCACGUCCAGCAGCACAGGAGGGGAUCAGAGCGUGCUCCUACCCAUUCAGCACAGCCCCGAGAUUACUUUUAACCAAGGUCACUUCUGCAGUUCACUUGACAACAGCCUGGGCAGCGGCACACUACUGGCACAGCCUGCGGACUGCUAUAGGGAUGGGAGGACAAACAGUGACAAUUGUCUCCCGGAUUUACUGCGUCGAAGCUGUGCCGCGGCUGCCUUCUGAUCAGAAGUGGGUAGAUAAAUCUGCUCCGUGUUCUGCAGUGACUGCCUGCUGCCCUGAAGGAAGCGUGUCAUGUCUGCAAGGAAGCGUUUCAACCUGCAGCCGUGGAGUACGAACAGCAUCAAUCACUCCUUUCCAACAAAGGUUGGGUUGUGCUGAGCCCUAAUCUUUUAAAUAAGACCUACUGUAACAUGCACAGAAUGUUUCCCAUGUUGGAUUCUACCUUACAAGCACUGAUUACGCCCACUGAUGCUUCAUGAGACAACCAAGCCAGACUUGUGCCUCGAUUUGAAAAUACUCUGACACAAUAAAAGAAGACUUCUUAAUAUUUCAUUCCUUUGCUGCAAAGCUGGAAAGCACGGAAAAAA